AUUGAACGCUGGCGGCAGGCCUAACACAUGCAAGUCGAACGAGUGGCGGACGGGUGAGUAAUGUCUGGGAAACUGCCCGAUGGAGGGGGAUAACUACUGGAAACGGUAGCUAAUACCGCAUACCAUCGGAUGUGCCCAGAUGGGAUUAGCUUGUAGGUGAGGUAAAGGCUCACCUAGGCGACGAUCCCUAGCUGGUCUGAGAGGAUGACCAGCCACACUGUAACUGAGACCAGGUCAAGAGUCCUACGGGAGGCAGCAGUGGUGAAUAUUACGCAAUGGGCGUAAGCCUGAUGUAGCUAUGCCGCGGGUAUGAAGAAGGCCUUCGGAGCGUAAAGUACUGUCAGCGGGGAGGCGUUACUCGCAGAAGAAGCACCGGCUAACUCCGUGCCAGAUGCCGCGGUAAUAA
rnacentral:rRNA from 1 species